GGCAAAAUAUAUCAAAAAUAAAAUAAAAAUAAUCCUGAAUAUUUUUUGAAUAUCAGAAUAACGAAACUGCUGCGUCAGAAGGGAUAGGCUGGCUGAGUCUGUUUUUCCUCUUCCGCAGUGAGCAAUACGGGGCUCCCGAAAGAGAGAGUUGAUGGCAUAGAGAUAGGAAAAGUCUCAGUGAGGCAGUUUCUCGGUCCCAUUUCGAUAGGAAUUCCUGCCCCAAGAUGAAAUGAGAACUGUUCAUAGAAAUAAACGGAUAAACUAGGAUUUAAUCGUGGCUUUACUGGCCAGCUGCAAGGCUAGAAUCAAAAUAUAUUUCAUGCCCAAAUAUAUCACUAAAACAUCUGACAGUAGCCCUAGUGCUACCAGUUUCUUGUAUUGUUUUCAGAAACCAAAGACAAAGAAGGAAAUCCUGUUCUUUCAAAGUUAGGUCUUAUCUCAUGUGGAUUCCCCUGUUUUUAAACAAUUAAAAGCGUCUUCUGCAUACAGAUCAGUGGAGUGCAGAGUUCUGCAUGCAACAGGACGCUGGAUUUGAGCGGGCGGAAAUUUAAGCGGACCGACGUGCGGCCAUUCGGAGGAUGCUGAACAUGCCUUCUCUAAACUGAACCCAGAAACUCCCUGAGGCCAAUAAGAGGGUUUAUUCUGCCCUACCCGCUACCAUGCCCUCACGUGCUAAGACGUGGGGCUCUCUGAGUUUUCGUCACGUCCACGUGCUCAUUACAAGCUACUUUGCACAGCUUGGCGGCGGGCCUGGAUCGUGCGCUCCAAUCCGGUCUUGGUGGCGAGAAGUCUCGUGUCCUCUGCUGCUCUCUCUGGGAGUAGAGCUGCCGAAGUCUACAUUGUAUUUUCUGUUUCAUGAUAGCGCCGUUGGUUAGAGUGAAGGCAUAGGAAUAUGGGAAACUACCUUAUACUGAGACAGAUCAUUGGUCCAUCUAGCUUAGAAUUGUCUACACUGACUGGCAGCGGCUCUCCAAGGUUUCAGGAACCCUAGAGAUGCAGCGUUCCUGUUGCCAAGUAGCGGCAGGAGUGAGGUGAUGGCAGAAGCAGAGCAUUCGCUCCGAGAGACAGCCAGCAAGAGACGCUAAUGCCCUAGAAUGGACACAUUUCCGAGCUGACCUCUUUAUGGGACCAGGAGGAGCUUCCUUCACAAACCCGUGUUACUGCGGCUGCAGAAUUCAGCACCAAUGGUGCUCAGGAACCUCCAGUUUCAGCAACGAAACACACUACAGACUGAGGGUUCAAAUUCAGGUUUGGAGGAGGAAAUGGAGCCUCAGUUGGGUGAUGGAACUACAGCUUCAUGCAUUCAGAAACACCUACCUCAGAUAUGUUUACCUGAGGUUUCAUAUGAAGUCUGAAUUGGGCCACAGAACAUAGAAACAUAGAACACUGAUGGCCAUUUGCCUUUCCAGAGGCCCAACCCUCCACUGAAAGCAAUAGCACUUAUUUUAAGGGCAAUUAAAGGUAAUUAAGCUUCUGAGGUGAUGGUUUUCUGCUGGGAGAUUAAGCAUACAUCAGGUCUGAAUUUUCUGAACUCUUGAAUGUCUCGGAAGGUGAGAAGCAUGAGCAACCAACCCAUGGCACACAUCUGGAAAUUAUAUACAGUGGAUCAGUGGUUCCCCAACUGGGAGCCUCCAGAUGUUGCUGAACUACAGCUCCCAUCAUCCCCAGCCACAAUAAAUUGUAGCUGGGGCUGAUGGGAGUUGUAGUUCAGCAACAUCUGGAGGCUCCCAGUUGGUGAACCACUGCGUUAGAUGGUUGUUAAUAUGUCAUUACUUUUUAAAGAAAGAAGUUGAUACUGUGGUGUGAGGAGAAAGCUUAGGGGAAAAGAAGAAAAGACAAUUCCACUCAGUCUGUAUUUGUGAGAACCCUGUUUAGGCCUGAUCACUGCUAUAAAAGGUGCUCUUUAACCAUCCCGGUUUGGCAUGUAACACAAGUAGCACUGGUUGCCUGUACAAUGAGCUAUUCUUGGAAAUAAAAUCUUAA